GGACUACCGGGGUAUCUAAUCCCGUUCGCUACCCUAGCUUUCGUGCCUCAGCGUCAGAUAAGACCCAGUACGCCGCUUUCGCCACCGGUGUUCCUUAGGAUAUCAACGCAUUUCACCGCUCCACCCUAAGUUCCGCGUACCUCUGUCUUCCUCGAGCACGGCAGUUUCAGGCGCAAUUCCCCAGUUGAGCUGGGGGAUUUCACACCCGACUUUCCGCACCGCCUACGCACCCUUUAAGCCCAGUAAUUCCGAAUAACGUUAGCAAGGUUCGUCUUACCGCGGCGGCUGGCAC
rnacentral:rRNA from 1 species